CUGGCAGGUGACUGCACUGCCUAGUCCCACCUCACAGCCCGGACGUAAACAGCCCUUCGCUUGGGACAGAGCCGGGUAGCAGACGCUGGACCUGGGCAAGAGCGCACCACCCCAGGCCCAGGCCCAGAUCCGGCCGGCUCGGUCCCGCCCUCAAGCGAGAUUAGGGUGGAGUAGAUCAGGCGACAGCUCCCGGAGGGUUCGGCCAGCGUCUCUGAUCUGAUCUCUCGCUCCAGUGCUUCAGCUGCAGAGCCACCCCCAACAACGUGUGGCACGGAGCCUGCGACCAGUGUCCGCCGCCAGUGUCCCCCUUGAAAUGGCUGGGAAGACGGGGCUGCUUGUCCUCAGGCGAUCACAGCAGCCGCGGCUAUGCGCCUUUCUUCCCCCAGCGUUCUCGAGCCUAACCUGCCGGUUCAGGGCUACAGGGUCAGACAUGCCAACUGUCCAUCAUCACAUCCAAUUUGCCUGCUCUUCCAGUGAAGGGUGGAAGGAAGGGAGGCCUUUGGGGAAGUGGAGAAGCAGACAAAGCAGAGCUGGCAUCCAUCUUAAGCAGGCUUCACAAAGAAAAGAAAGAAAGAUCCACCAGGUCGACGCUAGAGAGAUGGCUCAGCAGUUAAGAGCACUGGCUGUUCUUCCAGAAGUCCUGAGUUCAAUUCCCAGCAACCACAUGAUGGCUCACAACCAUCUAUAGUGGGAUCUAAUGCCCUCUUCUGGCAUAAAGUUGUACACGCAGAUAGAGCCCCAUUUAUAUGAAAUAAGUAAGUAAACAAACAAAUAAAUCUUAAAAAAAUCUGCCAGGUCAGCCCAGAGUGGCAGUGAUGAAGGCAUGGGGGGGGGGUCAGUUAUGGGGGUCAGUUUGCUGUUAACUACAGGGAGUUCAUUGUUCCAUGGGGCUAUUGACUCUGAUGAUCCGGGAG